rnacentral:ncRNA from 10 species
UACGUUGAUAGUCUGUUGACUACGCAAGUAAGCCAGAAGGGCUGAAGCAACGGGAA